UGAGCCGAAGGCAGCGGCUUAACCCACUGAGCCACCCAGGCGCCCAGAAACAAAUUUUUUAAAAUACGCUCUCUACAUUAAUUUUGGUCUUAAAGGGUAAAAGUUGCUGCUGAAUAUGUAAAAUGUCCAUGGAUGCAAACUUCUAUGAUGGUUUCUCUGGGUUUGGGUUUGAGUGACUGUCCAUUUUCUUCUACACAGUCUUUUGCCUUUUCCCAAUUUUCUGAUUAAUACCAAACCUUAUUUCGGUGGGGUAGGGUAGGGUGGGGACUGUGAACUUUGAAGCUUUCACUGAAUAUCCAAAAUACUCUGCAUGACUCAUUUUUCUGAACAAAGCUAUACUUUUAUUACAAUAGAAAAUAGAUACCUGAACUCUAUGACCUUUCUGAUAAGCCAUUUUUUAAGAUGAAAAAACACUGAUCCAGCCCAAUUAUAAACAAGAGGAGACUUCAUAAAAGAGACCCCCAAGGAACCGUUGACUUUUUUUGUUCUGGUCCCAGGGAAAGGAGGACACACUGAUUCACCCCUAGCUCUCUUUCUACUCCUUUCGAAGCUAUUUAAGCUCCACUAUGAAUGAGCAUCUGAUCUGGGACAGAAGUUGAGAAUAUAGAUCCUGGAAUUGGAGUAACUAGCAUGCAGGCAUGAAGACUGAAGUCAUACCUCUAGACUCCCUGUUAUUUUGAACAAUAAACAUCUUACUCAUGUUAA